CGCCGGUUUGUGUUGUUUAUAUGUCCAAAGUCCUAUCUGCGGUACAACUUACUUACAGCACGUCCGUACGUCAAUCCAACCGAAAUUAUUCAUAUCGCUUUUGUGAUGCAAUUCGUGCUUGUACCGUUCUGCAGAACUCGAUGCAAUCAUAGAGGAUAGUUUGAUUUUACCGCAAUGCAAACCAGCAAUCACAUCACGAAACAUACCAAACAUUUUGCACAAAACCUUAUAUUCAAAAGAGAUCUUCGAGCAAAGUAGACGAUAUGACAUUUUCCUACCGAUUUAAUCAUAUGCGACAUAUUCUCAUGCAUUUCACAGCGAACAUUUCGACCUAUCCUGCAUACAUAAACAAUCGCAAGCAUUAUUUUGAAUGUUUUACACACCGAACAAUCUGUUUAUGCGUGCUUGCCCGUACAUUGUUGCCACAACAGCAUCGAAUAACCGAAUAACGGUGCUAAAGCUGUCAAGAUACUCUUAGGUGCAUGUCGCUGCCUCCCCCCCAUGUCGUAAUAAUGUUGAUUGCGCCGUUCUUAAGAUCUUGCCUCAAAAACACUAAUCACACCAACAACGGCAAAUGUAAUCAAUUGAUGGCGCUGUAUCUGCAUACAAGCGACCAUUUGGUCAUCGUUGUGUGUGACGAAAAAAAUGUUUUAUAUUGAAUAUAUUCCAACAUUAUAUA